GACAGGCAGAGAGCGUGAGCCGGGAAUGGAAAGACCGGUACAAGCGAGGUAGGAGAAGAGUUGGCAAAUCCGCUCUUCAAUCUGAAGACGUGAUGUGGACUGAAAAUAAGUAGGGAAGCACGUGAGCUGACUGUCAAGAAAAGCCGCUAUUGUUUGCAGGAUACCCGUACCGUAAACCGACACAGGUGGAUGAGGAGAGAAUCCUAAGGCCGACGGGAGAAGCAUUGUUAAGGAACUCGGCAAAAUGACUCCGUAACUUCGGGAGAAGGAGUGCCAGUAAGAUGGCCGCAGAGAAUUGGCCCAAGCAACUGUUUAGCAAAAACACAGGUCUAUGCAAAACCGAAAGGUGAGGUAUAUGGGCUGACGCCUGCCCGGUGCUGGAAGGUUAAGGGGAGAGGUUAGCGCAAGCGAAGCUUUGAACUUAAGCCCCAGUAAACGGCGGCCGUAACAAUAACGGUCCUAAGGUAGCGAAAUUCCUUGUCGGGUAAGUUCCGACCCGCACGAAAGGCGUAAUGAUUUGGGCACUGUCCCAACAAUGCACCCGGUGAAAUUGGAAUACCAGUGAAGAUGCUGGUUACCUGCGCCAGGACGGAAAGACCCCAUGGAGCUUUACUCCAGCUUGAUACUGGGAUUCGGUAUUGCAUGUACAGGAUAGGUGGGAGGCUAGGAAAUGGUAACGCCAGUUGCCAUGGAGCCAAUGUUGGGAUACCACCCUUGCAGUACUGGGUUUCUAACCAGCAGCCGUGAUCCGGCUGGGGGACAAUGUCAGGUGGGGAGUUUGACUGGGGCGGUCGCCUCCGAAAGGGUAUCGGAGGCGCUCAAAGGUUCCCUCAGAAUGGUUGGAAACCAUUCGAAGAGUGCAAAGGCAGAAGGGAGCUUGACUGCGACACCGACGGGUGGAGCAGGUACGAAAGUAGGACUUAGUGAUCCGGUGGUAUAAAGUGGGAUUGCCAUCGCUCAACGGAUAAAAGCUACCCUGGGAUAACAGGCUUAUCACUCCCAAGAGUUCACAUCGACGGAGUGGUUUGGCACCUCGAUGUCGGCUCAUCGCAUCCUGGGGCUGAAGUAGGUCCCAAGGGUUGGGCUGUUCGCCCAUUAAAGCGGUACGCGAGCUGGGUUCAGAACGUCGUGAGACAGUUCGGUCCCUAUCCGGCGUGGGCGUAAGAUAUUUGAGAGGAGCUGUCCUUAGUACGAGAGGACCGGGAUGGACUGGCCGCUGGUGUAUCUGUUGUCUUACCAAAGGCAUAGCAGAGUAGCCAAGCCGGGAAGGGAUAAACGCUGAAGGCAUCUAAGCGUGAAGCUCCCCUCAAGAUGAGAUAUCUCAUAACGUCAAGUUAGUAAGACCCCUUGAAGACGACGAGGUAGAUAGGGCAGAGGUGGAAGUGUGGUAACACAUGGAGCUGACUGUUACUAAUAGGUCGAGGGCAUAACCG
rnacentral:rRNA from 1 species